UAUAAGACACCGUUGACUUUUUAAUAAACGUUUGACCUUUCGUCUUAUUCAAAAAAUUUAUGUAAUUAUUAUUUAUUUUAUUGUGAUUUGAUUUAUCAUCAAAUGUUCUUUAAGCAUGACAUAAGCAUUUUUAUAUUUCCAUAAAAAAUUAAAUAAGACGAAUGGUCAAACGUUGGUUAAAAAGUCAACUGCGUCAUAUAUU
rfam:Oryza sativa (indica cultivar-group) chromosome 11, whole genome shotgun sequence.